rnacentral:rRNA from 1 species
UUGCGCAAUGGGCGAAAGCCUGACGCAGCGACGCCGCGUGGGGGAUGAAGGCCCUCGGGUUGUAAACCCCUUUCGGCAGGGACGAAGCGAUCGUGACGGUACCUGCGAAGAAGCCUCGGCUAACUACGUGCCAGCAGCCGCGGUAAGACGUAGGAGGCGAGCGCUGUCCGGAUUCAUUGGGCGUAAAGAGCGCGCAGGCGGCUCGGUCAGUCGGAUGUGAAGACCCGGGGCUCAACCCCGGGCAUGCAUCCGAUACUGCCGGGCUAGACGUAGGUAGGGAACACCCGCAUUCCUGGUGUAGCGGUGAAAUGCGCAGAUAUCAGGAGGAACACCGGUGGCGAAGGCGGAUCUCUGGGCCUUACCUGACGCUCAGGCGCGAAAGCUAGGGGAGCGAACAGGAUUAGAUACCCUGGUAGUCCUAGCCGUAAACGUUGGGUGCUAGGUGUGGGCGGAUAUCGACCCCGUCCGUGCCGAAGCUAACGCAUUAAGCACCCCGCCUGGGGAGUACGGCCGCAAGGGUAAAACUCAAAGGAAUUGACGGGGGCCCGCACAAGCGGCGGAGCAUGCGGCUUAAUUCGAUGCGACGCGAAGAACCUUACCUGGGUUUGACAUGCAGGGUGAAACCGUUGAAGGCGGGCGCUCUUCGGAGCCUGCACAGGUGGUGCAUGGCCGUCGUCAGCUCGUGCCGUGAGGUGUUGCCUUAAGUGGCGCAACGAGCGCAACCCCUGUCCUUAGUUGCCAGCGGACCAUGCCGGGAACUCUAGGGAGACUGCCGGUGCCAAACCGGAGGAAGGUGGGGAUGACGUCAAGUCAUCAUGCCCCUUAAGCCCAGGGCUGCACGCAUGCUACAAUGCGCGAGACAGAGGGCUGCGAUCCCGUGAGGGGGAGCGAAUCCCACAAAUUCGCGCUCAGUUCGGAUCGAGGUCUGCAACCCGACCUCGUGAAGUCGGAGUCGCU